rnacentral:lncRNA from 1 species
UGCUUUAGUAUAUUGAAAUCGUUAAGCGUAUGUGAAGCUAGUGCUUUCUCUUAUAUAUAAGAUUUACACUCAAGGUAGUUACAUAUUCUACCUUUAAGUUAGUUGCAUUUCGUAACUACCAUAACAUAUUCUUAACUACCAUAACUAUCUCUUAACUACUUUUAUGUCAUUAAUCUCUAAUAACAAUUGUUUUAAUAAAACUAAAUUAUUGAA